rnacentral:hammerhead_ribozyme from 1 species
AUCCAGCUGACGAAUCAUAAAUAGUAUGAAACGCGCGUCCUAGAU